rnacentral:rRNA from 1 species
AUUGAACGCUGGCGGCAUGCCUUACACAUGCAGGUCGAACGGUAACGCGGGGCAACCUGGCGACGAGUGGCGAACGGGUGAGUAAUGCAUCGGAACGUGCCCAGUAGUGGGGGAUAGCCCGGCGAAAGCCGGAUUAAUACCGCAUACGACCUACGGGUGAAAGCGGGGGAUCGCAAGACCUCGCGCUAUUGGAGCGGCCGAUGUCAGAUUAGGUAGUUGGUGGGGUAAAGGCCUACCAAGCCUUCGAUCUGUAGCUGGUCUGAGAGGACGACCAGCCACACUGGGACUGAGACACGGCCCAGACUCCUACGGGAGGCAGCAGUGGGGAAUUUUGGACAAUGGGCGCAAGCCUGAUCCAGCCAUGCCGCGUGCGGGAAGAAGGCCUUCGGGUUGUAAACCGCUUUUGUCAGGGAAGAAACGCUCUGGGCUAAUACCUCAGGGUAAUGACGGUACCUGAAGAAUAAGCACCGGCUAACUACGUGCCAGCCGCCGCUGUAA